GGACAAGAUCCUGACAGCAUCAUUUUUACUCCUAGGCCUUCACCUGUCUGGGGUGAGUGGCCAGCAGGAGAGACGUGACCAGCAGCAGGUGAAACAAAGUCCCAUAUCUCUUACAGUCUGGGAAGGAGGACCCACAGUUCUGAACUGCAGUUAUGAGAACAGUGCUUUUGACUACUUCCCAUGGUAUCAGCAGUUCCCUGGGGAAGGCCCUGUACUCCUGAUAGCCAUACGAUCAGUGUCCAAUAAAAAGGAAGAUGGCCGAUUCACAGUCUUCCUCAGGAAAAGUGAGAAACAGCUCUCUUUGCACAUCGAAGACUCUCAGCCUGGAGACUCAGCCACCUACUUCUGUGCAGCAGAUGCACAGUGCUCUCCACACACCUGCAGCCCAGACCCAAACCUGCAGCUGAGGCUCCAGCAAAGCCCUGCUGCGGGCUGAGCCUGGCAGAGAUGCACAGGAGUUGUCAUUUGUAGGAACAGUGGGUGUUAGGAUUAGACUCAUUCAGUCCGGAGACUGCCCAAGCUAAAGUCACAGCUUCCUUUUCUCUAUUCCCCUUGUUCCUCAGAAACAGCUGGAGUUUUACAUGGCUUUAACCAGUUUAGAUGAAUUGUUCUUCUGAGUAGUUGUACAACUAAUUCUCUAUGUGGUUGUUUGUAUUAACUGUAAGUUAUAAAGGCCCCGUCUACCUACUCUAUUGUCAACAAUGUUAAUGUGUGGAGGUUACAACCCAGGGUCAGGAGACCUUGACAUUGGCUUCUGGGAUAGAAAUCACAUAGACGUUUGUUUUACCUUAAUUUUGUCUCAUGACCAGAGAAGUGGUAAUUUACAUGACCACUCACCUCUUCUACUUCCUCUAGCUUUGCCUCUCAUAUCCACAUCUACCUUCAAGAAACUCAAGUAUGUAAACCAGGAGCUCCUCACAAGGAUGAAGGUGUAUCUACAACAGACAAAUGACGUCAGACGGGAAAGAAAAAUUUAAUUUACUCACAUAAUGAAAGCUGACAGAGCCCCAAUUCCAGCUUUCAUAUUACAGAGGGAUUAAGAUUACUUGUAUAAAUUUAGGAAUUCUAUGGAAUAGUUAUUAGGAAUUAUGGAAUCAUCAAUUUGUCAACAUAGCAUUGCUACAAAAAAAGUAAGUCCUAGUUGAUCUGCAGAAAAUCUGACCAAUAAGGUGGGCUAAUGCUCAGGAUUGUUAUAUGGAUCUAAUAAUGACUGAAAAGCUUAUCAGCAAUAAGACUCAAUCCUGAGGUCAGAUUUCUGAAAGCCUUGCAAUUCAGAAUUGUCCAUCGCAGCUGUGUAAUAUGAUGUGUUAUCUCCAGAAGGUCACUUGUAUGUGUUAGCCUUCCUUAGAUGGCUCCUGACAGAAAAUACCAUUGAAGAUGUUUGAAACACAGUGAUAAGAGAGAGCAGAGAGCAGAGAGCAGAGUGGGCAGAGAGAGCAGAGAGCAGAGUGGGCAGAGAGAGCAGAGAGAGCAGAGAGAAGAAACCUAGUAAAGACAGCAGAGAAAGAAGUCAGGCUUUUUCUAAUCAUGAGGCAGUUUUCUUCUUUAACAGCAGGUUUCUUCUUGCUGUCCAGGACAGGGCUUUUCAUACUCAACAAAAAAAGUUUUUCUUUCUCUAAGCAAUAAAGGUUAAAGCUUAUUUUUCAUCCAGAACGAGUGAGGUUUUUCUGUAUUGGCAUUUACUCUAUGGAGCUUGCUCAUGGGGGCUUUUGCUCCAUCCAUAUGCAUAUGUAAGUAGA
ensembl:lncRNA